rnacentral:rRNA from 1 species
UAGGCAGGUACAGAGGGAUGCUACCGGGCGACCGGAUGCGGAUCUCGAAAGCCUGUCCCAGUUCGGACUGGAGUCUGCAACCCGACUCCACGAAGUUGGAUUCGCUAGUAAUCGCGCAUCAGCCAUGGCGCGGUGAAUACGUUCCCGGGCCUUGUACACACCGCCCGUCAAGCCAUGGGAGCCGGGGGCGCCUGAAGUCCGGGACCGCGAGGACCGGCCUAGGGCGAAACUGGUAACUGGGGCUAAGUCGUAACAAGGUAUC